rnacentral:misc_RNA from 1 species
CACCCCUCAAGCGUAGCUUGGUUUUGGGCUUUCGUCAUCGAUGACGGGUCUGAAAAUCAGUGGCAGAUGCCCUUGUGGUUCCUGAUGCAGUAGUUGUUUUCUCAUCUGGAAGGCCUGAGGAUAUCUCGCCAAAAUGGGAUUGGGGCAGCAGUGCCUGAAUCUCCUUCUACA